AGCAGCCGCGGUAAUUCCAGCUCCAAUAGCGUAUAUUAAAGUUGUUGCAGUUAAAAGCUCGUAGUUGAAUUUCGGGAUCAGUUGAUCGGUCGUGCCUCGGUACGUACUGGUCAAAUUGAUUCCUACCUUCUGACGAACCACGAUGUCAUUAAUUUGGUGUCGUGGGAAAUCAGGACUGUUAACUUUGAAAAAAUUAGAGUGUUUAAAGCAGGCUCGCGCUUGAAUACAUUAGCAUGGAAUAAUGAAAUAGGACGUUUGAUUCUAUUUUGUUGGUUUCUAGGAUCGACGUAAUGAUUAAUAGGGAUAGUUGGGGGCAUUAGUAUUCAAUUGUCAGAGGUGAAAUUCUUGGAUUUAUUGAAGACUAACUACUGCGAAAGCAUUUGCCAAGGAUGUUUUCAUUAAUCAAGAACGAAGGUUAGGGGAUCGAAGACGAUCAGAUACCGUCGUAGUCUUAACCAUAAACUAUGCCGACUAGGGAUCGGAUGAUGUUAAUUUUUUCAAUGACUCAUUCGGCGCCUUA
rnacentral:rRNA from 1 species